GACGAACGCUGGCGGCGUGCUUAACACAUGCAAGUCGAACGGAAAGGCCCUGCUUGCAGGGUACUCGAGUGGCGAACGGGUGAGUAACACGUGGGUGAUCUGCCCUUCACUUCGGGAUAAGCCUGGGAAACUGGGUCUAAUACCGGAUAGGAGCCAUCUUUUGUGUGAUGGUUGGAAAGUUUUUUCGGUGUGGGAUGAUCUCGCGGCCUAUUAGCUUGUUGGUGGGGUAAUGGGCUACCAAGGCGGCGACGGGUAGCCGGCCUGGGGGGGUGGACGGCCAAAAUGGGGCUGGGGUAAGGCCCAGACUCCCACGGGAGGCAGGAGGGGGGAAUAUUGCACAAUGGGGGCGAGCCUGAUGCAACGACGCCGGGUGGGGGAUGACGGGCUUCGGGUUGGAAACUCCUUUCGCUAGGGACGAAGCUUUUUGUGACGGUACCUAGAUAAGAAGCACCGGCUAACUACGUG
rnacentral:rRNA from 1 species